UGGCGGGUUGAAAAGCCCGGGCGUUUGAGAGCUGAGACUUGCCAGUUCCCACAGGCCAAGCCAGGCGUCUGCACCCCAUUCUCUUGGUUCCGACGAAUAUGCUCUCCAUGAGGGUGUUCUUCAGGGCCUACCACAAUGGCUGGCACUAGAGAAGGGCACAAAAUUGAAGAACAGUGAAGACAAAAGCAAUAAGAUGAUUAAGGCCAUGUGAGACAGCAACAAUAUCAGUGUCAACAGUGGCGGAAAGGGAAGUUUGUAUCACCUGUGUUAAUGCUGCUCUGGAAAGGGAGCCAGAAUGAGAGUGCACAGUGAUCACACAGUCACCAUCAAAUAAACCAUGACUACGCACAUACUCUGGGAUGGCUGCAUCUCUCCUGUGGGAAAGAGAGAGAUAGAAAGAGAGAGCAACAUGUCAUCCGAUGACUGCAGCCUAGAUGGAUAUGGCUGUGAUAGAGUGCUUCAAUUGGAAUCUGCCUCUUGUAACUGAAAAUUACUUUAAACAAUAAAAAGAAGUUAUUGACUCA
rnacentral:lncRNA from 10 species